rnacentral:rRNA from 1 species
UCGGGAAUUUUGGGCAAUGGGCGAAAGCCUGACCCAGCAACGCCGCGUGAAGGAUGAAGUAUUUCGGUAUGUAAACUUCUUUUGAAUGGGACGAAAAAGCCUCACUUGUGAGGAACUGACGGUACCAUUAGAAUAAGCACCGGCUAACUCCGUGCCAGCAGCCGCGGUAAUACGGAGGGUGCGAGCGUUAUCCGGAAUCACUGGGUUUAAAGGGUGCGUAGGCGGCUGUAUAAGUCAGUGGUGAAAGGCUGUGGCUUAACCAUGGGAUUGCCAUUGAUACUGUACGGCUUGAAUUAGGAUGAGGUUGGCGGAAUGUGACAUGUAGCGGUGAAAUGCUUAGAUAUGUCAUGGAACAUCGAUUGCGAAGGCAGCUGACUGGACCUUAAUUGACGCUGAGGCACGAAAGCGUGGGGAGCGAACAGGAUUAGAUACCCUUGUAGUCCCUGAGCGGGCUGGCAAGGCGCAU